rnacentral:rRNA from 1 species
CGGGGUGCAGCAGGCGCGAAACCUCUGCAAUAGGCGAAAGCCUGACAGGGUUACUCUGAGUGAUUUCCGUUAAGGAGAUCUUUUGGCACCUCUAAAAAUGGUGCAGAAUAAGGGGUGGGCAAGUCUGGUGUCAGCCGCCGCGGUAAUACCAGCACCCCGAGUGGUCGGGACGUUUAUUGGGCCUAAAGCAUCCGUAGCCGGUUCUACAAGUCUUCCGUUAAAUCCACCUGCUUAACAGAUGGGCUGCGGAAGAUACUAUAGAGCUAGGAGGCGGGAGAGGCAAGCGGUACUCGAUGGGUAGGGGUAAAAUCCGUUGAUCCAUUGAAGACCACCAGUGGCGAAGGCGGCUUGCCAGAACGCGCUCGACGGUGAGGGAUGAAAGCUGGGGGAGCAAACCGGAUUAGAUACCCGGGUAGUCCCAGCUGUAAACGAUGCAGACUCGGUGAUGAGUUGGCUUUAUGCCAACUCAGUGCCGCAGGGAAGCCGUUAAGUUUGCCGCCUGGGGAGUACGGUCGCAAGACUGAAACUUAAAGGAAUUG